CGGAAUAAGAAUCUAGUAUCCAGUUCUCACUAUACAUAGCUUUCCCUCACUUUCUAUCAGAAAUGAGAUAGGAGUCCCACCUUCCUGGCAUCAGAAACAGAUCACCAAUCCUGCAAACAAAUUCACAGGGCUGGAAAACCCCAGUGAAGGCUUUUAAAACUCAUCAGACAUAGAAAAAAAGAAGCAGCUUUAAUUGUAGGAUCUCACUGACACAAACAUAAGGAAAUUCUGAGUUAUAGAUACCUCACAUUAAGCUUUUUCCACUGACAUUGUAACUUCUGUCAACAUUCAAAGAAAAUUCAACCCUGGUCAAAGGUGACAGUUGACAAUCCUGGAAGCUAACAUCCUCUGUUUAUUUGAACAAGUUUAUACUCUGCACAGGGAAUUGAAGUUCUUCUUGUCUGUGACUUGAUCUCCCAAAGUUAAAGCACUACGCUUUAGGGUUGUGAAUUCUGUUUCCAAGACUUAACUUCACAAUCCACUCCCAAGGAAAAGU
rnacentral:lncRNA from 10 species